rnacentral:rRNA from 1 species
AGCCAGAACCAAGAGAUCCGUUGUUGAA